AUGUUUAAAAUCCUUAUUUAAAUAUUAUUUAAAAUUAAUUAUUAUUAUAUCUAUUAUAAAAUUAUAUCUAAAUUUCUUAAAGUUUAACUAUGUUUAAAUUAGUAUUAAAUUUUUAUUAGAAUAAGGAACUCGGCUAAUUAUUCGUCUGUUUAUCAAAAACAUAGUCUUAUGAUAUAAGGUUAAACCUGCCCAUUGAAUAAUUUUAACGGCCGCAGUACCUUGACUGUGCUAAGGUAGCAUAAUAAAUUGACCUUUAAUUGGGGCCUUGAAUGAAAGGAUUGAUAGUCUCUGUCUCUAUUAACUAAUUAAAAUUUACUUAAAAGGUGAAAAUUCCUUUAAAAUUUAAAAAAGACGAGAAGACCCUAGGAGUUUAUAGUUUUGUUGGGGCGACAAUGUAACAUAACUUACAUUAUUUAAAACUUUGCAAUAAUAUUAAUAAAGAAUAAACUACCCUAGGGAUAACAGCAUAAUUUAUUAAGUUUGUGACCUCGAUGUUGGA
rnacentral:rRNA from 1 species